rnacentral:rRNA from 1 species
UACGGGGGGGGCAAGCGUUGUUCGGAAUUACUGGGCGUAAAGGGCGCGUAGGCGGUUCGAUAAGUCAGCUGUGAAAACCAUGGGCUUAACUCAUGGCCUGCAGUUGAGACUGUCGGGCUGGAGUGUGGGAGAGGAGAGUGGAAUUCCUGGUGUAGCGGUGAAAUGCGUAGAGAUCAGGAAGAACAUCCGUGGCGAAGGCGGCUCUCUGGUACGUGACUGACGCUGAGACGCGAAAGCGUGGGGAGCGAACAGG